GGGAGCAGCAAGCAAGUUGCAUCAUAGCGUUCCGACGAGGGCUUUUGAGACUUCGCUGUGGGCGUCCGCGCGCAGUGCGUCGACCACGCAGUCUCCAAUAUGCUCUUUACAAGCUAUGGGGAAAGUCUCCGUGCCAUGGGGUCGAGAGGAUCGAUGAGAAAUUCGUGGACGCCUCUCAGCUACAGUCGCCUGAUGUGUUGUGCACGUCUCCUCUGUGACAGGCUUCUUGCCUGGAGAAGAGGCAGCGCGACGGCUGGAGGUUGAUUGCAGUUGCCGCUUACAUGCGGGCUCUUCCAAGGCUUGAGUUCAUGCGACUGGUGGGACUGUCUUCCCGAGGACGUUCCGCUAACAGAAUGGAGCUUAUGUCUUCGCUGUUCC
rnacentral:RNase_MRP_RNA from 16 species